GGUUCCGGGGGAAGUGGAAUUAUUUUUUACCAGCGAAGAAGAGAUCAACUUCCACAUCCGGUAACAAGGGGCCCCCUCUACAAAAAAGGCGCAGACUGACCUGGAAAAGCUUGGCCGGCCCGCCGGCCAUCGGAGGCAAUUUAUUACUUGAGACAAAACUGGAACAAUUUGAAGAUAAAAAGGGUGUUCAUCUCUUUACAUAAGAGGAUCCUGUAUUUUACUGAUGGAUCGUUUUGGAUAAAUUCCAAAGGCCAUCCAGUUAGUAGAUGGAACAAUGGCUAACUUACCAUGAAGAUGCUCAAGUAAGAAAACAUACCCCAUUGAUUGAUGUAGGGAAACAACUUAAGAGUUGACAUAACUGGAUUAUAUACAGAGGUUCUGUGACUUACAAUGUAAUCUGAGCUUCAUUUAAGUCCUAUCAGUAGAUAAAGAGAUUCUGAUUAAACAACAUAUCAAACAGUA